GCUGAAUGUGGGUGUGGCAGUGAAACUGUCCAGACUGGUUAUGAGAAUAGAGAGAGGUGCUACUCCACUGACUGUCCCAGAACUCUCCUUGGUCCUAAAGAGCAGCCAGACACCAGAGAGAGUGUUAUCCAGGGCUCUGAGUAAUGUGGUGUCCCUGCUGAGACUCUGGAGGGUUCAGUGUCUGGACCUGACUGACCUCUGGAUCCAGGGUCACUCUCUCAUUGCACUGCUGUGUCACCAGGGACCUCUCUCUCUUAGGUCAGUCUGAAGUUGAUAUUUUUUUAAAGUAGAAAUAGUAACUUCAUUCAUGUGUUUUUCUUCAUAUUUCUGACAGCCUGUAUGUUCCAACCUCCUAGACUAAACUCAGACACUCUGCAGCAGCUGACUGUAGUUGUGUAUGAAGCUCAGGACAAGGAGUUGACUCAGUGGUUCCUAGAGAAGGUUGGUGGAGACCUGACCUCCUGCAGGCUGGACUGGGAAGUGCUUCUCUCUCUGCUGCAGCAUUCAACCCACAACAUCACUGUGGACCUCAGGAAGAACCGGCUCCUAGAGAAGAACAGCUCACAUCUUCUCCCCUUUCUGGGAAGGGUUACUCUCAAGAGGUCCAGUUCCAGCUUUGUAAAGUCCWCCAUCAGACAGAUCUAUGACAGAGCCAGUGACUGUGUGUCCAGUUUGUUGAGUUCUUCAGACCAUUGGAUCAACCUGAACAGCAGAGAGCUGGACAGAGUGGACUGUACCGCUCUGUGUUUUACCCUGCAGCACAGCCACCAAGUCAAAAUCAACCUGCUGUGGACCUCCAUACCACCGGGGGAGAUAGAGAGCAUCCUGCCUCUUCUGGACAGAGUCUCCCAACUCAGUGUUGACAGGAGGUUACUGCUGAGUUUCCUCCAGUGCUGUGCUGCCUCUCAGGUCCAGCAGGGGGGACCAUCAUCAUUACCAACCGCAGUAUGGCUGCUCAGGUCUCUGCACUACAGACUGGACUUCUCCUGCUCCUCCUCUGUGGACCUGUCAGCUCAGGACCAGGGGGAGGCUCUGUGUCUGACCAUUGACCACUGCAGGGCCAUCCACUCUGUUCUGAAGCAGAAUCAACACAGCACCCAGCUGGUCCAGAACCAGGUCCAGCUCAUCCUAAGAGACUGUGAGGUGGAGGACAGAGCACUGAGGGAGCUGCUUCCCAUCCUUCAUAUUGUGAAGCUGAGUCCCAGCAAAGCUCUGCUACUUCAGCUGCUGGACCUUGUGCGUGAGGGGAUUGAAGAGGGGCUGCUGAGGCACGCAGAGUCCCUGUGCAGAGCCCUGGAUGGGGAGCUGGACCUCAGUGAGACCAGGCUGGACCAGAAGUCCUGUGGAUCUCUGGCCCUGGUUCUGGAACACUCAGAGGGUCUGUCAAAACUGGACCUCAGCCACUGUCAACUCACAGACCACCAGCUACAGUCCCUGAUCACACACCUGCAUAAAGUACAAGUCCUGGACCUGAGCCACAAUUACAUCACUGAUGCUCUGACUGACAGAAUUCUCCAACUGGUCUUUACCAACACUUCAAUACACACCAUACGACUCUUCAACAACAGAAUCCAGGACAGAAGACCCUUCCUGACAGACAAGAGGUUUGACAUCUGGUGAAACAACAUCAGGUCUUAGUCCAGGAAGAGAAGGCUGAAUCCAGGACAGAAGAUCCUUCCUGACAGACAAGAGGUUUGACAUCUGGUGAAGAUAAUGUUCUAUAAUAACACUAUAAUGUGUCAAUGUAGAAGGCUGGUUUGAGAUCUGGUGAAGAUAAUUUAUAAUAACAGGAUAAUGUGUUCAAUGUAGAAGGCUGGUUCAAAAUCACACUGAUUGAUCUGAAAAAUUGUCUUACUGUAUAUUCUGGUGGACACAGUGGUGUGAAGUACUUAAGUAAAAAUACUACUUAGGAUUGCUGUAUCACAACCGGACGUGAUUGGGAGUCCCGUAAGGUGGCGAACAAUUGGUAUAAAAAUUAAAAAAAGUACUACUUAUGCAGUUUUUUGGGGUAUCUGUACUUUACUAUUUAUAUUUUUGACUACUUUUACUUCACUACAUUCCUAAUGAAAAUAAUGUACAGUUUACUCCAUCCAUUUUCCCUGACACCCAAAAGUAUUUAGAAUACUUAGCAGGACAGGAAUAUGGUCCAAUUCACGCUCUUAUCAAGUGAACAUCCUUGGUCAUCUCUACUUCCUCUGAUCUGACGGACUCUCGAAACAAACUCAGUUUGUAAAUGAUGUCUGAGGGAAGGAGUCCCCGUGGCUUUCCGUAAAUGUAACAGACAAGAAAAUCGUGCUUCUGUUUCUUAAUUUCUUAAUAUAAUUUGAAAGGAUUUAUUAUUUUAAUUUUCUUAAGUAAAAAUUAAAAUUAAAAUUAUUAAAUUAUAUAUAAAUUAAAUUAUAUAAAUUAUAUAAAUUAUAAGCAUUCUUAAAAUUUUAAAGCAAAUACUUUAAGACCUUUACUCAAGCAGUAUUUUACUGGGCGACUUUCACUUUUUCCUGGGUCAUUUUCUAUGAAGGUAUCUUUACUUUUACUUGAGAAUUGUGUACUUUUUCCACCAUUGCUUAAAUGGAAUCAUAAAAGUAGUUGACUCUUAAAUGUGUGAGUGAGUGUGAGGGAUAAGAACAUGUAGUUUUAUUUACCAGUUUGUGUGUAAAUACCUUAAAUUAUAUAAAUUAUUUUGUUUCUUUUAAUAAUUUCCACCGGUCUAAUAUCCAUUGCUCAUGUUUCUUGGCCCAAGCAAGUCUCUUCUUCUUAUUGGUGUCCUUUAGUAGUGGUUUCUUUGUAGCAAUUUGACCAUCAUGGCCUGAUUCAUGCAGUCUCCUCUGAACAGUUGAUGUUAAAAUGUGUCUGUUACUUGAACUCUGUGAAGCAUUUAUUUGGGCUGCAAUCUGAGGUGCAGUUAACGCGACUGAACUUAUCCUCAGCAGCAGAGGUAACUCUGGGUCUUCCGUUCCUGUGGCAUUCCUCAUGAGAGCCAGUUUCAUCAUAGAGCUUGAUGGUUUUUGAGACUGCACUUGAAAAUGUUUUUAAAGUUCUUGAAAUGUUCUGCAUCUUCAAGUAAUGAUAGACUGUAAUUUCUCUUUGCUUAUUUGAGCUGUUCUUGAGCUGUUCUUGCCAUAAUAUUGGCUUGGUCUUUUACCAAAUAGGGUUAUCUUCUGUAUACCACCCCUACCUUGUCGCAACACAACUAAUUUGCUCAAACUUAUUAAGGAGAAUAGAAAUUCCACAAAUUAACUUUUUACAAGGCACACCUGUUAAUUGAAAGUAAUUUCAGGUGACUACCUCAUGAAGCUGGUUGAGAGAAUGCAAAUACUUUGAAGAAUCUCAAAUAUAUUUUGUUUAACACUUUUUUGGUUACUACAUCAUUCCAUAUGUGUUAUUUUAUAGUUUUGAUGUCUUCCACUAUUAUUUUAAAAUGUAGAAAAUAGUAAAAAUAAAGAAAAACCCUUUGAAUGAGUAGGUGUGUCCAAACGUUUGACUGGUACUGUCUAUNNNNNNNNNNNNNNNNNNNNGUGGACUCACCUGGACUCAAUCACCUGUUUUAUUACGUCCCCUAUAUCUGUCUGUUUCUCAGUUCUCUUCCCUGUGUCACCGUUAUUGUCGUUUGCGUUUCCCUUGUCCAGAUGCUGUUCUUGUUUUGUCUGAUGUCCGUAUUCUGUUUCUGUCCGUUGGUUAUUAAAUGUUCACACCCUUACUUGCUUCUCGUCUCCAGCGUCGGUCUUCACAGUACUAUCCUAGUUCAAGUCAGAACAAAGCUGCCUGACGAAAGAGGGGUCACAUACACAUUGAAAACUCCAGCCCAAAGUGGG
ensembl:lncRNA